rnacentral:rRNA from 1 species
GACUAACGCUGGCGGCGUGCCUCAUACAUGCAAGUCGAACGGACUUAUGGAAGCUUGCUUCUAUAGGUUAGUGGCGCACGGGUGAGUAACGCGUGGGUAACCUGCCCUUGAAUCUGGGACAACAAUUCGAAAGGAUUGCUAAUACCGGAUACCUUCCAAUUUACAGCGAUGUUUUUUGGAAGAAAGACGGUCGAAUUAUGGCUGUCGUUCAUGGAGGGGCCCGCGUUCCAUUAGCUAGUUGGUGGGGUAAUGGCCUACCAAGGCGAUGAUGGAUAACCGGCUUGAGAGAGUGGUCGGUCACACUGGAACUGAGACACGGUCCAGACUCCUACGGGAGGCAGCAGUAGGGAAUAUUCCGCAAUGGGCGAAAGCCUGACGGAGCGACGCCGCGUGUGUGAUGAAGGCCUUCGGGUUGUAAAACACUGUUG